GGCUGCCCAGUUCAAUUUGCAUUUCACACAAUAACAGUUUUUUUUUUUUUCCUUUUUUUAGUCCCAGAGAUUAAGUGUGGGACAUACUUAUACUAAAAAAAAAAAUAAAAAGUUAUUCAUCUGGAAUUUGAAUUUA
rnacentral:miRNA from 1 species